UACAGAGGGUGCGAGCGUUAAUCGGAAUUACUGGGCGUAAAGCGCACGUAGGUGGAUAAGUAAGUCGAAUGUGAAAGCCCUGGGCUCAACCUAGGAAUUGCAUACGAUACUGUUUAUCUAGAGUAUGGUAGAGGGAAGUAGAAUUUCUGGUGUAGCGGUGAAAUGCGUAGAUAUCAGAAGGAAUAUCAGUGGCGAAGGCGACUUCCUGGACUAAUACUGACACUGAGGAGCGAAAGCGUGGGGAGCAAAC
rnacentral:rRNA from 1 species